GAUGAACGCUAGCGGGAGGCCUAACACAUGCAAGCCGAGCGGUAUUUGUUCUUCGGAACAGAGAGAGCGGCGCACGGGUGCGGUACACGUGUGCAACCUGCCUUUAUCUGGGGGAUAGCCUUUCGAAAGGAAGAUUAAUACCCCAUAAUAUAUUGAGUGGCAUCACUUGAUAUUGAAAACUCCGGUGGAUAGAGAUGGGCACGCGCAAGAUUAGAUAGUUGGUGAGGUAACGGCUCACCAAGCCAAUGAUCUUUAGGGGGCCUGAGAGGGUGACCCCCCACACUGGUACUGCGACACGGACCAGACUCCUACGGGAGGCAGCAGUGAGGUAUAUUGGACAAUGGGUUAGCGCCUGAUCCAGCCAUCCCGCGUGAAGGACGACGGCCCUAUGGGUUGUAAACUUCUUUUGUAUAGGGAUAAACCUACUCUCGUGAGAGUAGCUGAAGGUACUAUACGAAUAAGCACCGGCUAACUCCGUG
rnacentral:rRNA from 1 species